UACGUAGGGUGCAAGCGUUGUCCGGAAUUAUUGGGCGUAAAGAGCUCGUAGGCGGUUUGUCGCGUCGGCUGUGAAAACCUGGGGCUCAACCCCGGGCCUGCAGCCGAUACGGGCAAACUAGAAUUCGGUAGGGGAGACUGGAAUUCCUGGUGUAGCGGUGGAAUGCGCAGAUAUCAGGAGGAACACCGGUGGCGAAGGCGGAUCUCUGGGCCAUAACUGACGCUGAGGAGCGAAAGCAUGGGGAGCGAACAGG
rnacentral:rRNA from 1 species